GACGAACGCUGGCGGCGUGCUUAACACAUGCAAGUCGAACGGAAAGGCCCUGCUUUUGUGGGGUGCUCGAGUGGCGAACGGGUGAGUAACACGUGAGUAACCUGCCCUUGACUUUGGGAUAACUUCAGGAAACUGGGGCUAAUACCGUAUAGGAGCUCCUGCUGCAUGGAGGGGGUUGGAACGUUUCGGCGGUUGGGGUUGGACUGGCGGCUUAUCAGCUUGUUGGUUGGGUAGUGGCUGACCAAGGCUUGCACGGGUAGCCGGCCUGAGAGGGUGACCGGCCACAUUAGGACUGCGAGACGGAGCAGACUCGUACGGGAGGCAGAAGUGGGGAACAUUGCACAAUGAGCGGAAGCCUGAUGCAGCAACGCCGCGUGCGGGAUGCCGGCCUUCUGGUUGUGAACCGCUUUAGCCUGUGACGAAGCGUGAGUGACGGUAAUGGGUAAAGAAGCACCGGCUAACUACGUG
rnacentral:rRNA from 1 species